AUGAACAGCUGCUUGAAACUUAAGAUAAUAACGAAUAAAGAAAAUGUGAUGGAAGCUACAAGAAAGGCCAAGGUGUAUGAAAGCUUUGAAGCUCUGCAGCAGAGGGUGGAGUCUUUGUUGCUACACCUUGAGGAGACUGUACACGAUGCAGUACAUCUCUGCUCCAUGCAGGCAGAGAGAACAGUGAGUUUUUUAUCACCCAGCCAAGGCUUCACAAAGCUGAUGGGUUUUAGAUGUAGAAAUGGCAUCUGGUAG
rnacentral:lncRNA from 1 species